UACGUAGGGUGCGAGCGUUAAUCGGAAUUACUGGGCGUAAAGCGUGCGCAGGCGGUGAGCUGUGUCCGAUGUGAAAGCCCCGGGCUUAACCUGGGAAGUGGCAUUGGAAACUGGCUCGCUGGAGUGUGGCAGAGGGGGGUGGAAUUCGCGUGUAGCAGUGAAAUGCGUAGAGAUGCGGAGGAACACCGAUGGCGAAGGCAGCCCCCUGGGCUAACACUGACGCUCAGGCACGAAAGCGUGGGGAGCAAACAGG
rnacentral:rRNA from 1 species